rnacentral:misc_RNA from 1 species
UCAUUUUGGCUUUUAGUGGCUUGCUUGGCAAUUGGGCUUUGUGGGUUGCUACUAGUUUGGGUGUCUUCGGGGAUGUCUACCGUAAAGGUGCAUGAGUGGUGUUUGGUUUGUUACGGGUGGUUGGCUCUUUGCUUGCGCAACAACUUCCACCUGGCAUACCUCUUCAGUCUUGUGUCAAUGUUUGUUUUGCAUUGAAUGCACGACGGGUUUCUUGUGUUGCAUGCCUAAUUAAUGGUAUCGUUUGAUGAAUUGGUUUCCCUUUUCGUCUUGCGUCGCCUAUGCGAUGUGAGAUGAACCUUGAAGCAGCCUUUGUGAUCCACACUUUUGAUGCAUACGCAUUGAUUUUGUGGCCCAUUAAGUGUUGCUCGGUCUCAUGGAUAUGGAACCUGGUGUGGGCAUGGAAUCGUAAUGGUUCCUUGUUUGCCCAAGUUUAGCUUUUUUAAAACGAUUUGUCUAUCAUGUGUUAGCGUGGUAGACUAUGUCGAAUAUGAAUGCUACCUGGUGAUCCUGCC